AGGAUAAACGCUGGCGGCGUGCCUAACACAUGCAAGUCGAACGCGCUUUCGGGCUUCGGUGCGAGAGCGAGUGGCGGACGGGUGAGGAACACAUGGGUAUCUACCUCCGGGUGGGGGAUACCGGCGAGAAAUCGCCGACAAUCCCGCAUAGCUUCGGGAACGAAGAAAGCAGCAAUGCGCCUGGGGAUGAGCCUGUGGCCGAUUAGCUAGCUGGUGGGGUAAUGGCUCACCAGGGCGACGAUCGGUAGCUGGUCUGAGAGGAUGAUCAGCCACACUGGGAUUGAGAACGGCCCAGACUCCUACGGGGGCAGCAGUGAGGAAUCUUCCGCAAUGGGGGCAACCCUGACGGAGCAACGCCGCGUGCAGGAGGACGCUUUUCGGAGUGUAAACUGCUUUUCUCGAGGAAGAAAGCGGACGGUACUCGAGGAAGAAGCCCCGGCUAACUACGUGCCAGCAGCCGC
rnacentral:rRNA from 1 species